AUGAAUGAGAACGGAAGAAAAACGUUCGGUUCUCGUCUUCGCCGUGUUUAUUCUGUCAAGCUAUUUUUCUGCUUGUUUAUCCCAUGAUGAUAAUUAGACGAUAAAGAUGUUCUUCGAAACCCUGAAAAUAUCGUAUCACGGAGCUGAAUUGAAAUGGGAAUCAAUCGAGAUGUAUGUAACAUUUAGAUUGCGACACGUUGCUUCACGGAUCGUCGAUGAUGCCGCUCUUUAUCUCGUUGCAGUCAAACGUCGUCGUUUUACGACGGCCUAUUGAAGAUUCAACAGUUUCGAUAAAGCUGACCUAUGCGUUGCAUGUGCGGUCAAUAAUUUAACUGCGUGGCUGGAAUCUUCUAGCCUGAACAGUCAUUGUGCAUCUAUUUGCUCUUGGUUGAUUCCAAGAGAGUCGAUACACUUCGUUUUCGACGUUGAAGAGAGUUUUGCUGCGUGCCGCGAACCACUGCGGAGACAACAGCACCUGA